CUUACCUACGGGAGGCAGCAGUGGGGAAUAUUGCACAAUGGGGGAAACCCUGAUGCAGCGACGCCGCGUGAGCGAAGAAGUAUUUCGGUAUGUAAAGCUCUAUCAGCAGGGAAGAAAAUGACGGUACCUGACUAAGAAGCCCCGGCUAAAUACGUGCCAGCAGCCGCGGUAAUACGUAUGGGGCAAGCGUUAUCCGGAUUUACUGGGUGUAAAGGGGGCGCAGACGGCGAUGCAAGCCAGGAGUGAAAGCCCGGGGCCCAACCCCAGGACUGCUCUUGGAACUGCGUGGCUGGGGUGCAGGAGGG
rnacentral:rRNA from 1 species